rnacentral:rRNA from 1 species
AACGUAGGGGGCGAGCGUUGUCCGGAAUGACUGGGCGUAAAGGGCGAGUAGGUGGUAUAACAAGUCAGAAGUGAAAACUCCGGGCUCAACUUGGAGACUGCUUCUGAAACUGUUAAACUUGAGUGCAGGAGAGGGAAGUGGAAUUCCUAGUGUAGCGGUGAAAUGCGUAGAUAUUAGGAGGAACACCAGUGGCGAAGGCGACUUCCUGGCCUGUAACUGACACUGAGGCGCGAAAGCGUGGGGAGCGAACAGGAUUAGAUACCAGCGUAGUCC